rnacentral:rRNA from 1 species
GAAUAUUGGACAAUGGGGGCAACCCUGAUCCAGCCAUGCCGCGUGAGUGACGAAGGCCUUAGGGUUGUAAAGCUCUUUCACCGGUGACGAUAGUGACGGUAGCCGGAGAAGAAGCCCCGGCUAACUCCGUGCCAGCAGCCGCGGUAAGACGGAGGGGGCUAGCGUUGUUCGGAAUCACUGGGCGUAAAGCGCGCGUAGGCGGCUAGGCAAGUUGGGCGUGAAAGCCCGGGGCUCAACCCCGGAAAUGCGCCCAAGACUGCUUGGCUUGAGGCUGAGAGAGGGUGGUGGAAUUCCCAGUGUAGAGGUGAAAUUCGUAGAUAUUGGGAAGAACACCAGUGGCGAAGGCGGCCACCUGGCUCGGUUCUGACGCUGAGGCGCGAAAGCGUGGGGAGCAAACAGG